CCGCCCGCGGGCCACUUCGGUGCGCUGGACCUGGCCCUGCAGCUCGGCCACCUCCUCCUGAAGCAGGACGUGGCGGCCAGCCCGCCGGUUGGCCCCGAAACCCACCAUGGGGCCAAAUCGGGCUGUACCCUAGGGGCCUCGCCGCAGACACCUGCAGGCAGAAGCCCAGGCCUCGGCUGGAGUUGCCCGGCGGACACGGCCCCAGGGCCGGCCGAGGGAGGAGGCGGGCUUACCGGUCGGCUGCGAGCCGGAGAAGGGGGCGGGGCCGCAAGCCGCAGGUCCCUCCCCGCCCCCCUCCUCAAAUCAGGCCAAAACGCGUUCCGGAGGCUUUGAACCCGACCCUGCACCUGCCCAAGGGAACCGGGAGAACCCAGCUGCCAGCGUCCCCCAAACCCAACACCUCACGGUUGGGAGGCGGGGAAAAAAA
rnacentral:lncRNA from 1 species